rnacentral:rRNA from 1 species
GGAGUUAGCCGGUGCUUCUUCUGUGAGUGAUGUCCUUCCUGCCGGCUAUUAACCCGCAGGCCUUCUUCCUCACUGAAAGUGCUUUACAACCCGAAGGCCUUCUUCACACACGCGGCAUGGCUGGAUCAGGGUUGCCCCCAUUGUCCAAUAUUCCCCACUGCUGCCUCCCGUAGGAGUCUGGGCCGUGUCUCAGUCCCAGUGUGGCUGAUCAUCCUCUCAGACCAGCUACGGAUCGUCGCCUUGGUGAGCCGUUACCUCACCAACCAGCUAAUCCGACAUAGGCUCAUCCGAUAGCGCGAGGCCCGAAGGUCCCCCGCUUUCCCCCGUAGGGCGUAUGCGGUAUUAGCCCUGGGUUUCCCCAGGUUAUCCCCCACUACCGGGCAGAUUCCUAUGCAUUACUCACCCGGUCCGCCGCUCGCCACCAGGGAGCAAGCUCCCCGUGCUGCCGCUCGACUUGCAUGUGUUAGCGUCGCCGCCGACGCGUUCUAUACUGAGACCGACGGAGUACAAACCUACCUUACGUACGUAGAGGCGGGGGCCGGUCGGGACGAACGGGACCGGCCGACUAG